GCACAAGCAGCGGAGCAUGUGGUUUAAUUCGAAGCAACGCGUAAGAACCUUACCAGGUCUUGACAUCCCCUGAAAAGCACUUAACCGUGUUCCUGCCUUCGGGCACAGGGGAGACAGGUGGUGCAUGGUUGUCGUCAGCUCGUGUCGUGAGAUGUUGGGUUAAGUCCCGCAACGAGCGCAACCCUUGUCAUUAGUUGCCAUCAGUUAGGCUGGGCACUCUAGUGAGACUGCCGUGGACAACACGGAGGAAGGUGGGAUGACGUCAAAUCAUCGUGCCCCUUAUGAUCUGGGCUACACACGUGCUACAAUGGCCGGUACAGAGGGAAGCGAAGGAGCGAUCCGGAGCAAAUCUCCAAAGCCGGUCCCAGUUCGGAUUGUAGGCUGCAACUCGCCUGCAUGAAGUCGGAGUUGCUAGUAAUCGCGAAUCAGCAUGUCGCGGUGAAUGCGUUCCCGGGUCUU
rnacentral:rRNA from 1 species